rnacentral:rRNA from 1 species
UACAGAGGGGGCAAGCGUUGUUCGGAAUUACUGGGCGUAAAGGGCGCGUAGGCGGCCUGUUAAGUCGAACGUGAAACCCCCGGGCUCAACCCGGGAACUGCGUCUGAUACUGGAUGGCUUGAGUUCGGGAGAGGGAUGCGGAAUUCCAGGUGUAGCGGUGAAAUGCGUAGAUAUCUGGAGGAACACCGGUGGCGAAGGCGGCAUCCUGGACCGACACUGACACUGAGGAGCGAAAGCCAGGGGAGCAGACGGG